rnacentral:rRNA from 1 species
AGAGUUUGAUCAUGGCUCAGGAUGAACGCUAGCUACAGGCUUAACACAUGCAAGUCGAGGGGAAACGACAUCGAAAGCUUGCUCUUGAUGGGCGUCGACCGGCGCACGGGUGAGUAACGCGUAUCCAACCUGCCCAUCACUUGGGGAUAACCUUGCGAAAGUAAGACUAAUACCCAAUGACGUCUCUAGAAGACAUCUGAAAGAGAUUAAAGAUUUAUCGGUGAUGGAUGGGGAUGCGUCUGAUUAGCUUGUUGGCGGGGUAACGGCCCACCAAGGCGACGAUCGAGUAGGGGUUCUGAGAGGAAGGUCCCCCANAUUGGAACUGGAGACACGGUCCAAACUCCGUACGGGAGGCA